UUUGAAAAUAGACUUCUCUGUUUCAGUUGUCCCUCGGUUUAGGGGCACCCCUGUCUUGCCAGUGACUCAGAACACCACAGUCAUCACAGUGAGUUAGGAGACUUGUACUCCACGGACUCCAUCACUGCCUACUACAGUGGUUUGUCCAAGCGGUGCUGAUUGUUUAUAAUCUAGCACAAAGCUAAGGAUAAGAGAACGAGUACUGAUAGAUACUUGUUUUCCAUAUUGAACUUCAUAGAUAAUCUUACACUUAGUGCAAAUAAACUGAAAAGAUUUAAUGCUAUCUAAUCAACAGCAUUUAUGCUGGGUAAUAAGACAGGAAUAUGUUCCUUUUCUCCCAGAGGAAGGAUCACUCUUCUUCAGCAAAAGAUCCAGUUAUGGCCCAAAUCUAUGCAUCUAGGGACUAACAAAUGUGGCUAUGAUACAAAGAAAUCAUCUGCACUUAAAACUGGAAAAUGCUUGUUUCUCAUAUGUUGUAGCAGCCCUACAUAAGUGUUGUGCACACUGCCUUCUGGAGCCAGGCAGAAACAACAGCCACGAUGAUUAUUGCUGCCCACACAGAAAGAUUUUCCAGUCAGGGCAGUGUCAGUGCUUUCACAUGAGCGCAAUCAGUAGCAAUCCAGGAAUUCAAAAGACCAGGAAACUCAGAGAGCUGAAGAUGAGGGGAGCGUGGUCUGCCUGAAACCUAGCUGCUGAGAGGUAAGAAAGAUGGUGAGACUGGGAGAAAGAGAGAGGAGGGAAGAUGCAAUGUGAUGCUGAAGUCACACUGUGCUGCUGACCUUAAGAGCACCGUGUCCUCUGUCAGAGGCAGGAAGCAAUAAGCAACGAACAUUUGGCAUUCUGGUCCAUGAAAAGACCCAAGCCAACUGUUCUGCCCUCCUCAUUCAGCUGCUUAAGGAACCAACGGCAGACAGCCCUAGGAAGGAAGUUUUACUAUGGGGAAAAGGAAUUAAACUCGAUUUAAAUCAAUUUUUAUUCGCAGUACUGUGAGAAAGGGGGAAGAGGAAUCUGACUGUUGUCUGUUUGCCCACAAUUGUAUUGCAGACAUGGCCACACAGUUACAGGCACGGCAAUUAAAUGGUCAUAAAUUCUAUUUUGAAGGUCAAUAGUUUCUGAAAUUGUCAUAUUUUUGAUUGUGACUUAUAGCAGCAGAGUUCAGGAGUUCUCCUCAAGUCAGGAGAAGCUGCCAAAUGCAACCACACUUCAAUAGGUACAAAGUGCCCUUUGGAGGAAUUCCUGGUUUUGUGUUAUCAUAAAACAUCCAUCAAAUUCUAAUCACUUCUCAUUACUGAACAAGCACUAGCUUUUCUGGGUUAAGUAGGCCAGUUCCAGUCCUUCCCACCUACUCUAUCCAAAAUUUACAUAGUGGAUCCAGCCUUUCUGUGACUUAGUUUUAAUUUCGGCUCUCCUGUCCUCUUUCUCCAGCAGGUCACAAUCAAAAUGUUCCUUCAUGGGUUUUAUAUUUGGCCAUCAUGAAAUUGGUGUGUGUGUCUGUGUACACAUGCACAUAAGCGCUCACACCUUUAUAGACACAAGCACUGCAGGAGAACUGAGGACGUGAGGAGAGUGUGGAGGAUAUGACCACCAAUUCCCUUCUCUUGCUCCUUCACUAAUUUGUAAGAUGAACUGUCCUGGAAGUAACACCUGAAAUUAAAUAUACACACUACCCAU